UACAGAGGGUGCAAGCGUUACUCGGAAUUACUGGGCGUAAAGCGUGCGUAGUCGGUUAUUUAAGUCGGAUGUGAAAUCCCCGGGCUCAACCUGGGAAUUGCAUUCGAUACUGGAUAGCUAGAGUUCGGCAGAGGGAAGUGGAAUUUCAGGUGUAGCGGUGAAAUGCGUAGAUAUCUGAAGGAACAUCAGUGGCGAAAGCGACUUCCUGGACCAGAACUGACGAUCAGGCACGAAAGCGUGGGGAGCAAACAGG
rnacentral:rRNA from 1 species